GACGAACGCUGGCGGCGUGCUUAACACAUGCAAGUCGAACGGAAAGGCCCUGCUUUUGCGGGGUGCACGAGUGGCGAACGGGUGAGUAACACGUGAGUAACCUGCACUUGUCUUUGGGAUAACUUCAGGAAACUGGGGCUCAUACCGGAUAGGAGCUCCUGCUGCAUGUUGGGGGUUGGAAAGUUUCGGCGGUUGGGGAUGGUCUUGCUGCUUAUCAGCUUGUUGGUGGGGUAGUGGCUUACAAAGGCUUUGACGGGUAGCCGGCCUGAGAGGGUGACCGGGCACAUUGGGACUGAGAUACGGCCCAGUCGCGAACGGGAGGCAGCAGUGGAGAACAUGGCACAAUGGGCGGAAGCCAGAGGCAGCAGCGCCGGGAGCGGGAUGACGGCUUACUGGGUGUAAACCGCUGUCGCCUGUGACGAAGCGUGAGUGACGGUAAUGGGUAAAGAAGCACCGGCUAACUACGUG
rnacentral:rRNA from 1 species